UACGGGGGGGGUAAGCGUUGUUCGGAAUUACUGGGCGUAAAGGGCUCGUAGGCGGCCAACUAAGUCAGACGUGAAAUCCCUCAGCUUAACUGGGGAACUGCGUCUGAUACUGGAUGGCUUUGAUUCGGGAGAGGAAUGCGGAAUUCCAGGUGUAGCGGUGAAAUGCGUAGAUAUCUGGAGGAACACCGGUGGCGAAGGCGGCAUUCUGGACCGAUAUUGACGCUGAGGAGCGAAAGCCAGGGGAGCAAACGGG
rnacentral:rRNA from 1 species